rnacentral:rRNA from 1 species
UACAGAGGGUGCGAGCGUUAAUCGGAAUUACUGGGCGUAAAGCGCACGUAGGUGGCGACGUAAGUCGGGUGUGAAAGCCCCGGGCUCAACCUGGGAAUUGCAUUCGAGACUGCAUUGCUGGAGUACGGAAGAGGAAGGCGGAAUUCCCGGUGUAGCGGUGAAAUGCGUAGAUAUCAGAAGGAACAUCAGUGGCGAAGGCGGCUUUCUGGACCAAUACUGACGAUCAGGUGCGAAAAGCGUGGGGAGCAAACAGG